CGUGCCCUAGUUUCUUGCAACGCCGAUCCUCUUCCCUAGCCCUCUCCCUCUCGCGACUCACCUCCUUUACCGAGCUCAACCGGUCUCUUCCUUGUCCCGCGCACGAGCACCACACAGCCGCCGACCUCUUCUUCCCUCACGCGAGCCACACGUCCGGCAAUCUCCACUUUUCUGCGAGCGCCUAGCAGCCGUCGGCUCUCGAGCGAGCACCACACAACCGGCCCUCUCACGCGAGAACCAGCCGGCGAUCUCUCCCUCUUGCCACAGUCGGCGCCAGCGGACAAGCUUUCUCAUCCAGUCGCGACUCUCCUCCCUCGCACAAGUCGCGCCGCACCAUAGAUUGCGGAAGCCGACCAUUACCCUCUUCUCUUCUCCCAGUUCUCUUUGAACCGUGGCCUAGUUUGGUUGCCACUGCCAGAUCGUCACCUUUGUUGCCUCUUCUCUCCGCGAUGUGCCCCAACGAAUCCGGUAACAGGUAGAUGAGUCAUAGAUGCUUGGAGAGAUGUCGGCUGCCAGUCCCACGUCACACUCGAGGAUAGUUUUCUUGUUUUGUUUUAGUAUUGUUUGGAUGGUAUGUUGAUUUUGUGUAUUUUGCUUUUCAAUGAGUCGAUGUGAAUUUUUGGAGUCUAGUAUGGUGGUUGCAGACAUUUUUGUUAGUGUCGUUGUUGGUUUUACGUUCGUAUUAUUUUGUGUCUUCCGCUAUGCAUGUUUCCAGUCAUGUGGGUUGUUGUUAACUUUGUGGUUGUUUUUAUUCAUUUAUGUCCAGCCAGGUUGGCUGUGUAUAUUAA